AAGCGGUGGAGCAUGUGUUAAUUCGAAGCAACGCGAAGAACCUUACCAGGUCUUGACAUCCCGAUGCUAUUUCUAGAGAUAGAAAGUUACUUCGGUACAUCGGUGACAGGUGGUGCAUGGUUGUCGUCAGCUCGUGUCGUGAGAUGUUGGGUUAAGUCCCGCAACGAGCGCAACCCCUAUUGUUAGUUUGCCAUCAUUCAGUUGGGCACUCUAGCGAGACUGCCGGUAAUAAACCGGAGGAAGGUGGGGAUGACGUCAAAUCAUCAUGCCCCUUAUGACCUGGGCUACACACGUGCUACAAUGGUUGGUACAACGAGUUGCGAGUCGGUGACGGCGAGCUAAUCUCUUAAAGCCAAUCUCAGUUCGGAUUGUAGGCUGCAACUCGCCUACAUGAAGUCGGAAUCGCUAGUAAUCGCGGAUCAGCACGCCGCGGUCGAAUACGUUCCCGGGCCUU
rnacentral:rRNA from 1 species